AAACAGUAUCUAGUGAGAAUAACAAAAUUCCAGCAAGAUGACAGAGCAGCAGGGAAUUCUGCUGGAUCAUUAGGAUCUAUAAAUGUUUUAACUUCCCAAAGGUUACAUGAGGAGUACAGUGAGCUUUGAGGGAAAACAUGCAAAGAUCUGCAUACAAGAUGUGCCUGCUAUCAAUCAUCACUGCCCCUGCAGCAGCCUCUGAUGGAGCAAGCCAGAGUGCCUCACUGUUCAACACUCUUCUGUCAAGGUUAAGGAGUUAGAAGAGGAUAGGAAGGAGCAGCCAGCAUGGAGAUGGAGAGCUUGCACUAUGGUGGCACAUGAAUUGUGCAGUGACUGGCCUGUCCAUUGCUCUGCUGACCCUGAGCCUGAUGUUCAGUAGGAUGAAGACAACUCUUCUAUGCACACGAACAGUGAAAAGUG